AUUGAUCGAUAACGCAGCCUCGAUGUAAACCAUGUGGUUAAAAUAUGAAGAAUAAACGGCGGAAAACACAGUUUGCGUUCGUCUGUUGUGAGCGCAGAUAGUUAUUAUUUAUAUAGUAAAGCGAUGUUAUUAUUCUUUUCUGGAUUAAUUGAGCAGUGUUGUUUUUUCUAAAGUGACAAUAAAAAUGUGCAAGUUCUGAAAUAAAUAGCAUUAUUUUUAUACGGUACAUACAUAAUAAUGAUACAGAUCGUACAGUAUUCCGUCCUAUGUAACGUAGAAUGUAAGUACAUAUAACAACACAGACAUCUGCUGUUCAUACUGCAGGAUGUGAGAGCGGGUUUUUCUAUACAGAAUAAGGUCUUGACCAAAUUCAUGAACAGGUUUACUGUAGGGAAACAAGACAAACUCAUGAGAGUGCAGUUGUGCAAUUCUGCCCGGAAUGAAUUUGUGGAAAAAGCUCUCCCUGUUUGGAGAAAAAACAAGGCGAGAAGGCUAUACACCUGAAGUACAGUAGGAGUGUUGUUACACUAAAUCUAUAUUGAAGUUGUAAACCUUUUGACCAUAGGGGAAAUUGUAUUUUGUCACACUGUUUGAAAGAGCUAAUUUGGACCAAAAAAUUAUAAACUCUAGUCAUCCAAUUUAUUAAAAGUCUAGUCAGUCCAAACUGUUAAAGAUGUAAAAAGUUCUCUGUAUAAAAUGUUAUAUGUUUCACUGUUUGUUAUUAAAAGUAAAACAAAUAAAGAUUUUACUUGCUAUAAA